GGAGGUGACAGAAACUGGAAAAUUUGAAAAGUAGGACAACAGAUAAUGAAUAAGGAUGUUCUUGCCAUCUUAGGCUCAGGAUAUGGCAUAUUGAAUAGAUGGAGCAAUGGUCUAACUUGAUUUAAUAUCGCUUUCAGAGCUCAGAAUAAUAUGGGCAGUUAUAGGAGAAAAAUGCAUUGUGUCCUUCUUUUUAAAUGAACUGCAAUAAUUUGCAUGCCUUGAACGAAUAUGUGAACUUGAAGACAAUCCUCCUUUGAUUUCCGUGCUCCUUGGAAUUUUGCACUGCGGUUCCCUAACCCAGAAAAUCAUACAAAAGAUGAAGCCAUUUGAAAAGGUAGCAGACAAAAGUUGCACAGCAGGGGAAUGUGCUUGCUCACUAUGCUAAAGUUAGAUUCCAAUAUAUUGAAUAAUUAAGGAGAAAAUGUGUAGAAAAUGUACAUUGAUUUCUUUUACUCAUAAGCAUGCACGCACACUUUCAAGCAGACUGUGACCAUUUAUUCUCACCAAUAAUGCAAAAUUGGGAAAAGGCAAGCCUAUACUGAGGUUGUGAAUGGCUAUUAUAGAAAGUAAAGCAGAUUUCAGGUAUCCCUGGCAUGUAAUUGGUAAGAUAAAAAGAGAGGGAAACAACUGAAGGGUGUUUGGUGUCCAGCAGAGAAAUGGGAGGAAAUGGCCAGAAGCUGAUUGUGAAGAUAAAGGGCAAGAUGGAUGGAGCCGAUGUGUCCGUGGAGCCAGGAGGCAGCGCUUAAGGCUGGUCAGAGAUCCCAUCAGGAAUCUAAUUGAAAGGGAAGGUGAGACCGAAGGCGGCACAUAGGUAUUCAAGACUAGAAUGAGAAUAAAUUGCUGGAGACUGGAUGACGCAAGGCCACGCUGCUGAGAGACGGGACAUCGCACUACAGAUGAAGGACAGAUUUUCCUCCCAAGAUAAGAGUGAAAAACAGACAAGCAGAUGGCCUGAGAUGGAGAAAAGCUGAGCGGGAAUGCUAGCCAGCCUGCCUGGUUACUUGAAGGCAAAGUCAAUACAUAUUGAAGAAUGUAUGUUACAAUAAUGAUUUAAUCAGAGUUAAAAAUUCUGUCUUAAACUACAAUUGUAUUGUAAAGUGUUCAGCUGGUUGGUUCUGCAGAGCAAAGCACUGUUCUCAUUGUGGCUUAUAGUAUUAAUGUCAAUGAUGUCAAUACUCAACUUUAAAGAAGCUGUCCAAAUAAAAUAUCAAAAUGUUAUAAGAACGCUUCCAACAAAUGUUGGAAAUGUGAAUAACAAACGGGCACCUUUUUCCACUCCUGGUGGACUUGUACAAAAGCGAAACAGUUUUGGAAAGUCAUAUGGAAAACUACACAAUUAAUUCUAAAAAUAAAAAUUCAAACACAACCGGAAUUCUUUCUGCUGGGAAUGUUGGAUAUUGAAAAUGACAAGAACAAAGAAAUUUUGUUUAACUUUUUGGUUACUGCGGCAACGCUAGUAUAUGCAAGAAUGUGGAGACAGAAAGAAAUAACUAAAAAAGAGGACUGGUUAAAUAAGGUAUUAGAGAUUAUGAAUAUGGAUAGGUUGACCUACUGGCUGUCUCCAAAUCAAGGAUUACUUAAGAAAGAAACCAAUUGGGAGCUAGUCAAAGACUAUUUAAAACAGGCAAAAUUAGAUCUCAUCUGCUGAAGUUUAUUAUUUCCAAGAUUAGAAGAGGACGAAAGGGACACAGUAUUAUUACAAUGGGAUAUUAAUUAUGAAUGAAUUUAAGGAACAGCAAGACUAAGAUAGAAGUCUACAAUUUUUAAAAAAUCUUAUUUUAUUUUAUUUUAUUUCUCUUUCUCUCUUUUAACUUUUUUUGACUAUUUGUUGUUGUUUUUUUCCUUUUCUCUUUUCUACUUUUCUACAAAAAUAUUGUUCUCCCAAUUUCGAUGGAUACUAAUUUUUUAAAAAAUUUCUUUCAUGUUAUAUGAAACUCCAGUAAAUAUAUAUAUACAAGAAGCUGUCCAAAUUGUUGAUCUUUGGGGUAGGUACCAUCAACUUGAAUAACCUUAUUUAAUAUUUAUUUAUUUAUUUACAGUAUUUAUAUUCCACCCUUCUCACCCCGAAGGGGACUCAGGGCGGAUCACAUGAUAUACAUAUAAGGCAAACAUUCAAUGCCUUAACAUAGAACAGAGACAGAGACAAACGCAGACUCCGAGCUGGCCUCGAACUCAUAACCUCUUGGUCAGAGUGAUUUGUUGCAGCUGGCAGCUGGCUGCUCAAACUAAACUAUUCAAACUAAAACCCAUAGUAGCUUUAAUGCUCCACUUCCAAUCCUUUUAGGGCCUGUUCCAGGGGUUAUUUGGGGA